rnacentral:rRNA from 1 species
UUCUGGUUGAUCCCGCCGGACCUGACUGCUAUCGGAUUGAUACUAAGCCAUGCGAGUCAUUGUAGCAAUACAAGGCAGACAGCUCAGUAACGCGUAGUCAAUCUACCCUAUGGACGGGAAUAACCUCGGGAAACUGAGAAUAAUGCCCGAUAGAACAUUAUACCUGGAACGGUUUAUGUUUCAAAUGAUUUAUCGCCGUAGGAUGGGACUGCGGCCUAUCAGUUUGUUGGUGAGGUAAUGGCCCACCAAGACUAUUACAGGUACGGGCUCUGAGAGGAGUAGCCCGGAGAUGGGUACUGAGACACGGACCCAGGCCCUAUGGGGCGCAGCAGGCGAGAAAACUUUGCAAUGUGCGAAAGCACGACAAGGUUAAUCCGAGUGGUUUCUGCUAAAGAAACCUUUUGCUAGUCCUAGAAACACUAGUGAAUAAGGGGUGGGCAAGUUCUGGUGUCAGCCGCCGCGGUAAAACCAGCACCUCAAGUGGUCAGGAUGAUUAUUGGGCCUAAAGCAUCCGUAGCUCGUUUUGUAAGUUUUCGGUUAAAUCCAUACGCUUAACGUAUGGGCUGCCGGGAAUACUGCAUAACUAGGAAGUGGGAGAGGUAGACGGUACUCGGUAGGAAGGGGUAAAAUCCUUUGAUCUAUUGAUGACCACCUGUGGCGAAGGCGGUCUACCAGAACACGUUCGACGGUGAGGGAUGAAAGCUGGGGGAGCAAACCGGAUUAGAUACCCGGGUAGUCCCAGCUGUAAACUAUGCAAACUCAGUGAUGCAUUGGCUUGUGGCCAACGCAGUGCUGCAGGGAAGCCGUUAAGUUUGCCGCCUGGGAAGUACGUACGCAAGUAUGAAACUUAAAGGAAUUGGCCGGG